AUACUUUUUGAUGUAGCCGUAUAAAGAUUGGUUAUUAGUUUUCCUAAGCCUAAUAUCUUUAGCUGAAUUGAAAGAUUGUUCAGUCACAUGGGGAAUGAAAAAUACCCCACCGUUGGCAGCAGUGGAGAAUAUUGGUCAAUAAACGAAAGUUUGAACCAGGGUUUUGUGGGGAUGAAAAGUCUUUAGGACUGUGAAGGCCAAGGUGGCUGUAAAGUUCGUGCGCGGAAUAAAAUAAUGAUUUUAAGUCUGAAGAGAACCCCGGGCUAACAAGGUGCCAGCAGCUGCGGUAAUACCUUGACGGGGGAGCGUUACUGGUCAUUACUAGGCGUAAAGUGUGGCUAGACUGUUUAGGUAGUUGUGAUUAAAAUCAAGGGGAUAUCAAAGCUUGACCACAAAACCCUAAUACUUGAGAAACUAAGAAGUUAAUAAUACUUAUAUUCUAGAGAUAAAAUACUAAAAGAGUAUAAAGAUUUUCAAAUGCCACGGCAAUUAACUAUUAGUAAUUCUGACGUUGAACCACUAAAGUAUAAGUAUCGAAUAGGAUUGGAGACCCUAGUAGUUUAUACCAUGAAUCAAUGGAUAUUAUAUGUUUAAGAUUUAACUUAAGCGUAAAAGCUAACGCGUAAAUAUCUCGCCUGGGGAGUAAAGCUGCAAAGGUUAAACUUAAAAAGAUUGGCGGGAGUUUGUAUGAACGGUGGAGCGUGUGGUUUAAUUCGAUAAUCCGCGUGUAAUCUUACCAACGUAAAAAAUAAAUUUAAAACAACUUCUGAUGGAUUACGUUGAAAAUUUAUUUAUAGGUACUGCAUGGCUGUCGUCAGUUCGUGUUGUAAAAUGUUAUAUUCAGUUAUUGAACGAACGCAACCUUUUUUAUAAGUUUUAUAAGUUUAUUAUUUUUGAAGAAACAUAAAUUUUAUGCUCAAAAAUAUUACUUAUUUCUUAUAUUAUUAUAAAGCAAAUAGGUAAUCUCUAUAAGUAUAGUAAUAUACGUUAGUGGUUUUUAUUUAUUUUAUGGAAGUUAAGGAGAAGUCAAGUCAUUAUGGUCUAAAUAUGUUGGGCUACACAUGCGCUACAAGGGUAAAGACAGUGAGAUACAACAGUGAAAACUAAAGUAAAUCUUUAAAAAUUAUCUCAGUUCGGAUUGUAGGUUGAAACUCACUUACAUGAAGUCGGAAUCGUUAGUAAUCGUAAAUUAGUACGUUACGGUGAAUGAUUAAUCAAACUUUGCACACACCGCCCAUCACGCCCGAAGAGUUGUCUCGGCUGGAUACCUUUAUUAAUGAGUUUAAAAGGUUUUGAAUUGUUAAUUCAAUUUAUGUAAAACCUUUGUUUAUAGUAUUUUAAAUACUUAAAA
rnacentral:rRNA from 1 species